CGCCCAAUCGAGGGCAGCGCUGAGCAGAUCGAGCUAUAGGGCUUUGGAGCGCUUCGCUUUGCACAGUCGAGUGAACUGGUGAGGAACGAUACAGUACACUACAGUAGAAAAAUUGUGGGGGAGACGAGAGUAAACAACCACCUUAGACGCACACAACCAUACCCUUAUACGGCAGCCGAUAAGGUUAUCUUUGAGUCGCCUGCAGCGCAGAAAGAGCACUCGUAUUUUGAGAAGAAUUUGGCUACAUACCGCGCAGGAGGAUCAUAUCUAGCAAAGGAGCAGCCGUGAGAGAAGCACGAGAUACGGAGACAUGGCUGCGACAACCUGUACACGAUUCACGGACGAAUUUCAGCUAUAUGAAGAGCUGGGAAAGGGAGCCUUUUCAGUGGUGCGCAGAUGUGUCAAGCUGUGUACUGGACAGGAAUAUGCCGCCAAAAUAAUCAACACCAAAAAGCUAUCUGCAAGAGAUCACCAGAAGCUAGAGAGAGAGGCCCGUAUUUGUCGCCUGCUCAAGCACUCCAACAUCGUACCAUGGCGACGGAAGGCUCAGGUUCCUGGGUCUGGCCUCGUUCGUCUUCAUGACAGUAUAUCAGAGGAAGGCUUCCACUAUCUCCUAUUUGACUUGGUGACUGGAGGGGAGCUGUUCGAGGACAUCGUAGCCAGAGAGUACUACAGUGAGGCUGAUGCCAGUCAUUGCAUCCAGCAGAUCCUGGAGGCAGUGCUACACUGCCAUCAAAUGGGCGUGGUGCACCGAGACCUGAAGCCAGAGAACCUGCUCCUGGCCAGCAAAUGCAAGAAUGCUGCCGUCAAGCUGGCUGACUUUGGCCUGGCCAUCGAGGUACAGGGGGAUCAGCAAGCCUGGUUUGGAUUUGCUGGCACACCGGGAUACCUGUCCCCUGAGGUUCUGAGAAAGGAGGCAUAUGGCAAACCUGUGGACAUCUGGGCCUGCGGGGUGAUUCUGUAUAUCCUGCUGGUGGGCUACCCUCCCUUCUGGGACGAGGACCAGCACAAACUGUACCAACAGAUAAAAGCAGGGGCAUACGAUUUUCCCUCCCCAGAGUGGGACACAGUCACUCCAGAGGCUAAGAACCUGAUUAACCAGAUGUUGACCAUCAACCCUGCCAAGAGGAUCACCGCCCAGGAGGCCCUCAAACACCCAUGGGUCUGCCAACGUUCUACAGUGGCAUCCAUGAUGCACAGGCAGGAGACCGUGGAGUGCCUGAAGAAAUUCAACGCCAGGAGGAAACUCAAGGGGGCCGUGCUCACGGCUAUGCUGGUUUCACGGAACUUCUCUGUCGGCUGUCGCUCCACCGCUCCAAUCAGUAUCACUGCCGCUGCGGCAGCUGCAUCCGCGGCAGCGGGCUCCACCACUGGGCUGGUGGAACAAGCAGCCAAAAGUUUGCUCAACAAGAAGGCAGAUGUCAAGGAACGUAGAUCCAGCUCCGCUGCGCGGCACAUGCCCCAGACACCACAGACAAACAGCACCAAAAACAGCAUAGUCACCAGCCCUAAAGGAAACGUCCCUACUCCUGUUCUGGAGCCUCAGACCACUGUUAUCCAUAAUCCAGUGGAUGGGACUAAGGAAUCAUCUGACAGCAGCAACACGGUGGAGGACGAAGAUGUCAAAGGGAAGAGUAUAGACAGUUCAGUAAAGACCGAGUCCCAGCCUGACACCUUUGCCCCACAGCCCCAGGUCUCCUCGCCCGCUGUGUACUCCACCAAGCUGUCAGACCUGUUUGGCGUUGUACGCAAGGCAUCAGGGCCCAUGUCUGACGGGGAAGGGGCCACCAGCACACCUCCACCCCCUCCAGCCAACCCCUCUGUCGCCGCCUCCCCACCCAUGGCUCACACCCCCAUGCAGCUGUCCCGUCUUUCAGACCUAGUGAGCAAUGUUCGCCGGUCGCCUGCCUCAGCCCCUCCCCCCGUCAAACCUGCGCCCCCCCGAGGUAGAGGUGGCACCAGCCCCCAGGCCCACCCCCCCCUCAUCACACCCCACCUCCCCUCCCUCCAUGUCCCCCUCCAGCCUCUCCCUCACCUCUCAGACACGCAAACAAGAGAUCAUCAAGAUCACUGAACAGCUGAUCGAGGCUGUCAACAAUGGAGACUUCGAGGCAUACGCUAAGAUCUGUGAUCCUGGCCUGACCUCCUUUGAACCUGAGGCCCUGGGCAACCUGGUGGAAGGAAUGGACUUCCACAGAUUCUACUUUGAGAACCUCCUGUCUAAGAACAGUAAGCCUAUCCACACCACAAUCCUGAAUCCCCACGUCCACCUGAUUGGAGAGGACGCUGCCUGCAUCGCCUACAUCCGCCUCACCCAAUUCGUUGAUGGCCAGGGCCAUCCGCGCUCCAGCCAAUCAGAGGAGACUAGGGUAUGGCACCGCCGGGAGGCCAAGUGGCAGAACGUUCACUUCCACUGCUCGGGUGCGCCUGCCGCGCCACUCCAGUGAGGAGUAGAAUGCCAUAGCCACAUCUAACAAGAGUGCUCUGCUGGAGAGAGAUAGAGGGAGAGCAAAUCCAGUGUCAGGCGCCAGACGCCUCCCACACACUAGAUACCUAGCAUGCUUCUCUUCUUUACGACUACCUAUCGCCACCCGCCACUGUAUCCACUGACAACCAUCUCAACAACCAACCAACCAUCCGACAACAAUCUAUUGUUUUUUCCAACAACAACCCCCUUCUCCCCCUCAAGCCCAAACUUUGGACAAUUCACGUUUUGCCCCUUUUCUCCAACCCCAACCCCUCCAACCCAACCACUGGCUCACCUAUGGUAAUAUUGGGCUGUGGGUAGGGAGUGUUUCGAGGGGUAUGAUGGGGGGUGUUGGGGUGUUUUCUUGGCCUCAUUGUGCAUUUUGAUUCUUCUUCUUAUGUUACAUGAUGUUCCCUCUUCUUCCUCUUGUGAAUCUUUACUUGUGUUGCGUAACACUACACAGGAAAUACAGUAUGUAAAGUUUGAAGUAAAAUCUAUUAUUAUUAUGAUUAUUACUAUUACACAAUUGAAAUUGUAUAUGUAAUUUGUAUAAUUCAAAUGAUUGAUGCCAGUGGUUUCUAGAGUUGAAGGAAAUCUUUUGUUUUCUCUAUCUUUUUAAGGAAGCAUGUUGUUUUUCAGUAUUCACAGUGGCUGUUUUCUAUUGUGGCUUUUAAGUGACAAAAUGGUAUUGGUAGUUUUUGUAUAAGCUUCUUGUAUUUAAUCUAUUAUAUUAUACUAGACCAAAGCUCAUGUUUAAGAAAAAUAACUUUUGGGAGAAGGGGGGGUGUUAGACGUGGUGUGGAGGAAGCGAGUGUGUGAAUGUUAGAAAUGUGUGUGUGUGCGUGUGUGUGGAACCAAGUACAUGGGAGUAUUAGUCCAUAGGUGGCCGGUUUUAUCAACUGGUUUGAAUUUUCAGCUUUGUAAUGUGAAUAGCUGGAAAUGGGGUUGGCUUGGUUUGGUGUCUUCCGUCGUCCGGUCACAAUCAACUGUACGAAACGAGAUUCAACAGUAACAGAGGCUUUUAUUGUAUUUCACACUAAUCAUGUUUUUGCCUUUUUUGUGUUUAUUAUUAUUAACAUAUCUCAGAGGGUAGACCUACCGGUUCUCUCUUACUCUCUGGUGUUGGCCGUUGGUGUGUGGGAAGGCUCAGUGAUCCCCAGUGCUCCCGGUGGUUCGAUUAGAUAUUGCGGUACACUGCACUGCACAAACUGCAAAUGAGGCCUCUAGAAUUUUACAGCCGCUAGAAAGCAGUUUUGCAGUCUCUUUAAAACAGUACAGUACCUAUAACACCUCUGACAUCUCAUCUUUCUGCACAGGGAUGCUUUUUGAACCUUUGGUGAGCAGAGAUGAAGCCUUACACACUUAAAUCCUUACUGCGUCCCAAGGUGCAACUGUCCUUUCUCUCACACGUCAACCUUGAGCCAGUUGCACUCUGAACCUAUAUAAAAUCUGGAAACUACUGAGGUCCUGCGUUGCAUAGAGCCGUGCCUAGGGCUCCAUGCCUGUUUAAUAUGUUUAGUGGGGUUUAAUGGAGAGCUAACAGGGCAGGCUGUUGGAUUGGAGAGAUGUGGGCCUGUGCAGUCUGCGGGUAGCAGGUGUUUUAGUGGUGAGGUCAAGUAAAUGUGUGGGUGUUUACUUUGCGUACACCUUGUCCCUCUGUCCUGUGGUCUCUAGUUGUUGCUGCUCAUUUCAGAGUGGAAGAAUGUGACUGAGGUCUCAGGGUAUCCAGAAGACUGUGUGUAUAAGGGAAUAGCUCCUGUGUUGGUUUUCCACAUGAUGGAGAUUUUAGAGGAGAGGAGAAGAGAGGAGAGGAGAGGCUUUAUUUCAGCAGUCCUAUCAGUCCUCUACCUUCAGUCCACAACUUACUUUUGUUAUGAUUUUUAUGUAUAUUACAUUUUCACAUUUGUAAUAUCAUCUUCAUUGACUUGUGUUACUAUUGCAUGUUAUUGACUAGUGUUACUACUCAUUGUGUUUUUUUGCCAGUGUGAGAUGGACAGAUGGAUUGACAUGUUUUAGGAAGAGAUGGCUUCACACACCCAUGUAUAUGUAUAUGAAGAAAAAUCAGCUCUGGAGUGUUUGGUAAUGUUGCAGGCCGACUAUAUCACAGUCGUUGCAUUUCAUCAACAGUCGGGUAUCCGGUUACUAUAAUAUAUCAUAGGAUGGGGUUAUCUGAUAUGUUAAAUACCUAUCCAGACGUUGUGAGAUCUGUCAGGUGUCUGCAACAUAUAGUCAGCCAGGAAGUUGAUCGAAGUUUCACAUUUUGGAUCUAAGUGAGUGUUGUUGUUUUUUUGCCAUUCUACCACCAUAGUUGUUAUGCCUGCUUGUGAUUGGCUGCCUUUGGAAGUGUCUCAUUAUUAUUGGCCUGACAAUUUUGACCAUCUCAAUGAAUAGUGAGGUGGUCAGCCGAUUGGUUAGUCCUCAGGUUUAUAUUUAUUUAUUGUAUUAUUUAUUUAUUUAUUUUAUUGGUCAGUUAUGUGCUUUUUCUUCAAUGUUUUAUUUAGUUUUUCCCUCGAUAUACAGCUCACGUAAAUGUUAAAUUACUCUCUGUGGCAUUGUGAUUUGGGGCGGCAGGUAGCCUAGUGGUUAGAGCGGGCCAGUAACCAAAAGGUUGCUGGGUUGAAUCCCCGAGCUGACAAGGUAAAAAUCUGUCAUUCUGCUCCUGAACAAGGCAGUUAACCCACUGUUCCUAGGCCGUCAUUGUAAAUAAGAAUUUGUUCUUAACUGACUUGCCCUAAAUAAAGGUUGAAUUUUUUUUAAAUGUAGAGGUCCUCUUCUAAUGUCCCUAGAAGUGUUCCUGAGUGAUUGAGCCAACCAAACAUGUGAACCGACCUCUUCCCCCUCUCCAAACAAAUAAGAAAUAGCAGCAUGUACAAAGCAGCAUGUAUUAGCUAUUAACUAGCAUCUUAGCUGGCAUUUCUUUGCAUGAUAGUCAACAGGACACUAGUUUUGGUGUUAACCCUGAAUUGUCUUCUAAUUUUUCAUUUUCUACUGAACGCUGGUGUACUAAACCUUUCUCAAUCUAUUUUCUGAGCUUUUUAAGUGCAUAAAACUAUUUUUGUCUCGAGACGACAUAGCGAAGAUAGACGAGAGGCUGACUUUGAUAUUGAUGAUUAUGACAAGGAGGAUGAUGAUGAUGAUGAUUCUAUAGCAUGCUUUUAUAUGGAGCUCAGUGUUGUCAAUCCAGAGUGGCUUACUUCUAUACAUACAGCAGAGAGAGGAUCACCUCAAACCAUAAGCAUUUCCAGUGACUCUUGCUGAACUGAACUUGCAUGUGGGACUUGGGGGGAAAUCCUAACUUCCAUUUAAGUACAUUUUUAACAUAGUAUUGCAUUUGAUGUCACUGGUACUGUAGACUAAGUGGACAUUUUACUUACAGGGAAUGCAUAAUCUCAAACAGCAACAAUCAAAUAUAGUAGAGCAUGGAGUAGGCCUAGAUAGGCUCAAAGAUGCCCUCUGGUGGUUAAAAGGAGCAUUAAAGGCAUGCACUGCGACGUACUGAAUCCUAGCCACAGAAUACUGCACAAUAUACACACUGGACUAUGUUUCGUUGAGUUAAUUUUGGAAACGUUUUAAACAAUAGGAAUACAAAGUGCACCCAUCCAGUGACUAGACCACCUGUACUGAAAACACUGAGCUAGUAUCUCUGUAGUAUUUAUUUAACUCUUUUCCUAGUCCCUCUGUUUAAAAACUUUAUUCAAUCAUUUCUCUGCAGUUGGGUCUUAGUUUUGUUUUUGUCAGUUUGGGUUUCUUCUGUAGAAUACAUUUAUCCUAUAUUUCUCUGAUUCUUCUGAUUAUUGUGCUACCCCAAUGUGCUACAUGUGUUUCUCAAACUUAAGGAAAUGUGUUAAGGUGUUAUCAAUAAAAUGACAAUUUAAAUAAAAAUAAGUUAAUUAUCAUCUUAA